UUGCCCCUGGGUCCCACAGACUGCAUCAGGGCUCAUGAGCCCUCACCCAUGAAGACCGACUGCCAAGGGAAGAGCACGUUGUCAUCUCCCUAGCUGUCUCUUGUCCUUGCGCAGCCACAAGGCAGCGCCUCUACUGACACUUGCGGUGACGAGAGCUCAUUCUGUCAAAACCCGUGGUCUGGCUGACUGGCGCUUCCGGUCCAACUGGAAACAGGUUAAACCAUACGACACGUCACAGCUCAUCUUCCUUCAUUGGUCAGAGUAGACGUGGGUUCUGGUUCCGGUGGAGAGGCGUACGGCUUCCCAGGAAGCGGGUUCGCGCAUCUCGAGAAGGCAAAGGGGAUGCGAUCUCCCAGAAGACCCCUUUCCAUCAAAGACUGCUUCAGACUCUGAUCUCUCCGGAGCUCUACCCACUUGAGGGGUUAGGAGGCAGACCAUCACGCUCUGCUGGUGGCAUCUCCUAUGUAUCGGCUCAACCCUUCCCUUAGGUACGAGUCUACACAAGUACUUCUAAAGUGCAUUUUUCUGGCGUUAAAAACAGCAGUGCUCUCCAACAGCGAGUCCUGAAUCGGAGCACUGCUUCCUCCUUGGAGGGGCUGUGCAGUUCCAGACACCAAUCUUACGUCUCUUCGAAGCCACCCCAGCCGAUGGUUGAGAUGAGGCCAAGCGGCAAACGUCCUCUUCUUUUUAGUUCUGUAUCAACAUAUGCACCGACUUUGUACCAGGCAGCGCAACUCUUGAGAUUUUUCGUUACAAAUUAAAGGCGUCUGUUCUUUUUUGCGCAAUUCCUUCCUCCAAAGGAGAGAAACCUGCUGCGCGCAAUCAGGAACUCCAAACCCAUCUGCUUCUCCCCAGCUUUUAAAGCAGCGCUCUGCGGCCCGAAAAGACUGUUUAUUAGCACUUAAGGUGCUAAUAUGGGGAGCGAGACACCUGUGCGCGCCUUCCGCGCUCGGCACUAACUGUACGAACGCGCAGGGUUCGCUUGCGCCCGGGAGCAUUUCCAGGUUUCCUCUGGGCUCCGUCCCAGCCCACGCGCCUGGUGCUCGCGGGAGUUGCCGGCGCGCCGGGGAGCAAAACUUGAGCGGUGUUUGUUGUUGGAAAAGUUCUGCUCUCGGAACCGCCGGGAAAGUUUGAGCGCCUACGCGAGGCGGCGCAGCGGCCUCCGCAGCAGAGACCCGGGCCCCGGCUCCUCCCCAGGAUGCCCCGAGGGCACACUCGGGCCACGACUUGAAAACAAUAGAAGAUGAAGCCGCCAAAAGUUCUUCCCCUAAAAAGGCACCCUCUCCCCAGGGCACGGUUUGCAGUUGGGUCUGCAAACCUCCUGCUCCCUGUAUUUUACGGAUCAGCGAAGCACCCCAAGUUAUUCAUGGGUGGUGGGGUGUGCCGAUGGCUGCCUUCUGUCUUCUACCCUACAUUCUCUUUUCCACAACCGACGUGUGCGCGGAAAGGCUCAGCACUAAUUGCGCAAGGAAAACGCUGCAAAUUACGCAAAUUUACGCAGAGCGCCUGUGGCUCGAAACCUCUCCGGAGCCGGGGUAGCACCCCAGGUUGACACCUUGGGAUGAGCUCUGUCUUGGCGGAUGCAAAACCACCCUGAUUGCUCACCUGUUCGGGCUUCUGAAGAUCCCAAGACUCUGAGCCGACCUCACCUCCAAGAGAACGGAGGAGGUGCGCUUGGGACAACCUGGGGAGGUCGGGCUUUUUUUUCUGGAAGGUGUGCCUGCCGAAAUGUCUGCAGUCCAGCUAAGCCGAUUGCUGCUGCUCGUCUCCCCUGGCGCUUCCAACUUCUGUUCGGCGCAGCGGUGGCGGCAGUUCUGGGCUCGCAGCGCACUCGGCUCCGGCGUGAGGGCCCCGCGGCGGAACAGGUGCCAGGCUCACUGCCCCAGGGAAUAAGUGAGUGAUCCAGAGGACACGGCAUCUCGAAACCAGUCUCCACGGCACGUCCUGACUCCGGAAACAAAGGUGUCUUGCAGCUCAGCCUCUUUGGAGUGUUCAUCUAGACCUCUGCUCAAGAUGGCUGUCUACUGAGUACUUGAAGAAGGUGACCCUGUGCCUGCUAAUCCUUCUCACCAUGAGUUCCAGGCCAUUCCAGGCUACAUCACCGCAGUCCUGCAUGACAAGGAGAGCAUGUAACGACAUCAACCUUCACUACCCCAGUCUGCCCACGUGUUCUCCGAUGGAUCCACGGUCAGAUAAUCUUUUGACAGUAUCCAGAAGUACAGAAGCUACAACAAACAAAUCUGUACAGUUGGGAGGAACAAUAGAGCAGGGACCCAGCAGAACCAUUCUGACCCCGCCGUGUGCCAACAGAGCCCAUGCAGGACAACAGUUGCACCGCCCUCCUCCUCCCGGCUCACUUCUCACACAGUAAUUCUCUUCCGGUCACUCCAAAACCAGACUACCGAGUAAGUACGUGGAUCAGCUCAAUCAGAGGAAAAGACGCUGUAGCUGGAUUGCAGGGAAAAAAAUUAGAUUUACAGGUUUUGAUGCUUCCAAUAUUUUACCUAUGUUACAAAAUAUAGAAAUCUUGCCGUGAAAAGCCCAUGCUAAGAUAAAUAUCACCAAUAAGAUGGAGCUAUAGUAAUAAAGUCAUAUUAAAUUAUGAUCCAUACACAGCUACCCUUAUCAAGGAGGAAUAUUUGUAAAAACCCAACUUACUCAUUCUUACUUUUAAAAAUAGUCUUGUUUAUAAAACAAAAACGAAAAAAAAUCAAUUCUGCAGAUUCACUUUUCAUAAAUACAGAAGUGUGACAAAAAUACAAUUUGCCAUUGAUCGAUGAAGUCAGAAUGCUGGCCUGAAAACAGGGAAAGUGCUCACUUUUUUACAUGGCCCAGAUUCAACCAGUGUUCCCAAAUCAUUUUAUGUAAAAUGACCACGUUCUGCAUAUUCUGGGAUAUUCACACACGAUAAUGGAAAGACUACAGCCAAUGCCAAAACAUACUCUGGGAUUCCACAACAUUGUUAUGGAAAGAAGAUGCGUGGAUGUAUCAGGCCAUCCUACCAUUGCUAUAAACGUAUACCAUACGACAGCAAGCUGCCAGUGUGCUUAACAGCAAAAACUAUCAGAAGCAGGGACACAGGUGGCCGGUGAACUUUCACUGCAAAGCACUGAUAAGGACAGAGGUAUGUCAAAAUAAUACUGCAUUCAUGGUAAACGUUUUCAGGGAUCACAGCAAGAAGCGGGACAAAGUACACAGGGUCAUAAUCAAUGCACUGCAUUGAGUUCUAUUUGCUGAAAUAAAGUAACAUUCUCGCAGCUAAAAUAAAAAUACGUUUUACAAUAGAAGUCUCAUUUAACAUUUAACAUAGAAUUGUCUUCUUUUUGUAAGUGGAAAACAUAACUGUAUCAAGUACCUCUAUGAAUUAAAUUCCCUUUUAUUACUGAUAAGACUGAAGCUUAAAGGUCUACGUUGUUGUUUUUAAUAAGUUAAAGAUUUAUUAAUCACUCUUCCAGCAAAACAGAUGUACGUAGGAGGCACGGCAAAGACCCAAGACAAGGGCCUUGGUCACUCUCACCCCUGCUCUUCUCACGUGGACGAGGCGAGUGUCUAUGAGACACAGGAGCCGACUUGACAACCCGCUGUGGUCCAGGAAAUUCUGCCACUUGUUUGGAAAACAAAUCAAGCGUUGCUGGCGUUGCCUGCAGCCGGUGGACGUGAAUUACUUAGCGAAUCUGGUACAGACACAUCUUUAAAAUUAGAAAAUCAGUCCUUCUUACUAAACAGAUGUGGCAACGGAGUAGGGAAUAUUGGUUAGAAGGGGCAGCCGAUUUCUAGCUGGCCCACAGUGCAUGCAGAUUUUAGUCUAGGCUUGUAUGGAAGUCUUUUUCCCCCCUGUAGCUGCUUCCUACUGGUCUGUAUGCUCAUGAUCAGGGAAGCUGAUGGCAGAUUCCUGGCCUGCUGGCAGGCUUAGUGUCGGAGGAGCAAGGUUACUGUAGGAUGGGGCUGCCAUGAGUGUAGGAAUAGCCAGACCAUUAUCACGGGAUAGGGGAAAGGCUGGAAUGUGGCCAGACAGGAAAGCACUUGGACAUUAUUUCUGGUUCCCACAGGAUGAGGUCUGGAGCAGUAAUUAUUGUUGGAAUUGAAAAUCAUCAUUUCAACAUCCAGAUGAGAACAGCAAAGCCUUUCAGAAUAAAAUUCAAACUCCAGAGUUGGCUCGCUAUCUUCCUAGUAGAAUAAAAUUACAGUCUCCUGGAUUCUUCCUUUAAGGAACUGAGGUUUUGGGAUGUUCAUAAUGGAACUAAAAGAGAACAGGUUCUCGAAAGAAGGCAAAAUACGAUUAAACCCUGUUUAGGUUCUGCGCAGAAGGCCAUGCGUUUAUUUUUAUUCUCUUGGAGCCAAUGAGGUCGGCCACUUAGCAUCAUUUUAGGAAGGCCAACUCAGCUUGUAUGACUUUCAUGUUACAAAGCUAAGGAGGUAGGAAAGAGGAACAUUCUUCACUAUCAAAUUGCUCACAUCUUCCCAUUAAGUCAGGCACCAUGCCUGGCUAAACAAGAUGGUUAGCAAGAUGAUAAAAGUACUAAAUUAUUGGCAUUAAAGAUUCAAAGGGGACAUAUCAGCAUUUUUCCUGAUAAUGAUACUUUGCCUUCCAAACUACAACAAUUAGAACUAAUUUCUUUCUAAAGAAAUAAUUUCUAGCUAAUUAAAGACCAGGCUGGCCUUCAUAGUCUUACUUAUCCAGAAAUUACUCAUACUCAAAUUACUCAAAACAGAAACCUUCUGAGCUAAAUGUUAUUACAUCUCUGAUCACCAUGCAUCUGAGCAACACUAUUUAUAUGUUUUAUAAGGUAGGAAAAUAAAAACGCCACCCAGUGUUUAUACAGUAUUCUCAACUUGCUUCCUUUCACUUACUGAACGGAUCUGUAAAUUAGCGUAGAUAAUUUGUGGUUCAUUUUAUCCGUGAACGAGCCACUGCCACGGGUUGUCCGAAAACACACAGGACGAAAACACACAGGGCGCACAGGGCACACUGCCACGGGUCUUCCGAAAACACACAGGGCACACAGAAAUGCCCUGAUCUCUCCAACAUCUCAGAGACCAACUCACUGACCUUGCUAUAUACGUACAGUGAAGGAAAGAGCCUCACAGUUGAAGUAAAAGAGUCUGGAACCAGAGCUCUAGUGUCCUGUAAAUACCCAGACAUCUCCGUCUGUCUUAUGUGCUGUCACACAGAUAAUGCAGUGCCUAGCUGUCUGUGGUGCAUACCCUCUGUGAUGGCCCCCUGCCCAUGAUCCCUGCCUCCUGGAAUUCAUACUCUUGUCUAAUCCCUUCCCCUGGAGUAUGGGCUGGACCUAGUGGCUUCCAACAAAUAGCAAUUGAAUGUCACUUCUGAGAUGAGGUUACAGAGAGACUGUAUCUUUCAUGUUGGGGGCUCUUGCUUGCUCUGAGGGAAGCCAGCUGCCAUUUUUGAGCUGCCCAUGGGGAGACUCACGUGGCAGGGCACUGAGGGGGUCCCCCGGCAAACAGUCAGCAAGAAAGGGCUCCAGUCACAAGGCCUCUGAGGAACUGAAUCCGGCCGACAACCUUGUGAGUGAGUGUGGAAGUGGAUGCUCCCCUAGAGAGCAUGGCCAUCAGUUCAACCAUAGCCUCAUUCUAGACCUUGAACCAGAGGCACCCAACUAAGCCACACCUGAUUCCUGAUCACAGCAGCUGUGAGAUAAUAAAUCUCUAUUGUUUUAAGCCUACAACUUUUGGGGCGAUUGGUUACUUGGUGAUUGGUCACUAAUACAUCAAGAAAAACAAGGGAUCAGGGUGGGAAUGGGCUUGCCCAGAAGCAAGGCAGUUCAGGAGUCCGGAACUAGAAUGAGCUGUAAGAGAAAGAACAGAACGCAGAGGAUAGGGCUGGUGUGGGAGGCCCCGUGCAGCUGUGGACGCAGUGUGGACAAAUGGCUAAGACAGACUGUGGGCUCUGGAUCAGCCUGCCUGGAUUUCAGUCCGGUUUCACGUUACCUCUUCACAUCGGUUAUUUUACCCCCUUAAGCGUCCACAGUCUCAUCUGUAACCUGAGGCCCCUAACAACCCCCACCUCACAGAGAUAACACACGUAAAGUGUGUAGAGCACUUCCAGGCACAGAGUGAGGGUUCUAGCAGUUACAGAUGGGGCUGCCUUCGCUAGACCCUCCCCCCCCCCCCCUGCCAAAAGAGGGUCCGUCCCCUCAGUGGGUUGGGGAGAAAGGUUAUGAAUCCUAAUGCAUUCACCAUCCCAGGCAGAUAGGGGUUGUGGAGGACGUGCCGAGGGGGUGUUGGCUUACUUCUUGAGGUGGAUCAUCAGGUACCGGAGGGUCUCAUAGUGGGCAGGAGGCAGCAGCAUCAGCACUUCAUGGACGGCUUCCAGCCUCUCGUCUGCAUUGGAGAUUUCUGUAACGGCCCAUAUGAGGCAUUAGUGCAGUGCUGAGACAUUCGCGUUUUCAGAGAAGUAACCAGAAGACUGGUUUGUUCUGGUUGGAGAUGGAGGGGAAGUCUAAGAAGUUCAUGCAAUUUCAGGUAACAUUUCACUUAAACUAAGCGACUCGUUGGUGUCUUGCCUUAUUCCAGAAAGGCCUGGAGGUUGGGAACCACACAGGUAUUCAGUGUGCACUGGGUGGGGGACAGGAGGCCGGACCUGAAGUCUGCAGUCGGGUACGUGUUUCCUGGUGGCAGGAACGGCGCUUUGCCCGUCCUCUGAAAGCUGGGUUUACGAGAGAGCUCGCUGUCACGAGCUUUGAUUUAAGCCGGAUCGCCCGUGGUAGUGUUCUCUUGAGGUUGUCUGACAGUGUCUUCCUGGCAGGCUUCCAUAACUGAAUACAGUCAACAACACAAGGGCACUGGCCGAUGAGCCCGACAGCUCAGCCUGCACCAAUGGCACUUUUCACCCAAGCGCUGACGUGGCUAACCCCGCUGGACAGUCCAGGCUCGUGACGUUUCUUCUUUCUUGGUUCUGUCUCCUCUGCCCCUAGGACUUUAAUCUGGGAAACUCUGACCUUCCUUCAUGUAUAGGUAAUGUUAUGUUUUAACCUUUUUUGCAAUCAUUCUUUUUUUCUUUUUUGAGCGAGUGCGUGCAAGCUGGGGAGGGAAGAGUCAGACGCUCAACUGACUGUGCCACCCAAGUGCCCUUCUGACAAUCAUUCUGAAGACACUUUUUGACUUAAAGUUACAAUCAUUUCGAGACAAUUAGCAUUUUCGUUUACUUAGAGAACCGAAAGAACAAAUGUCUCAUCACAUUUGGUUCUGAGGAUAAAAAAAAAAGCUGCUAAGGAACAGAAAACAGGGAAUGUAGCAGAUAUAUCACCUGAUCCCAUUAUUUACAGAUUUAACAAAUAUCUACUGAGAAUCUGCCAUGUGCUAGGCACUGUCAGGCCCUGGGGAGUCACAGAGAAAAAGACACAUAUUCCCUUUCUGUAGGUCUAAGUUGGAGUGGGAGUCAGGCAUGCAACUCAGUAGUUACAAGGAAGUGGGAAGCUUGCUCGGCUGGAGGCAUGUGAAAACAUGGGGGUGGGUGGGGCCCAGGAAAGGGCAGUCAGACUCUUAGGUCAGCAUGGGGUGCUCAGGGAGGAUUCAUGGAAGAGGAAACCCUUGAGCUGACACCUGAUUAAUAGGUAAGCGUUUGCCAGGCAGAGGUGCGAACGCAUUCUAGAUGGACAGAACCACGUGAGUCAAGGCAGUUGUUCGUGAAAACAGGUGCACUUCAGUAUUGCUGGGGCAUAAAGUAUACAGGGAGGAGCAACCGGCCAUGAGCCUGAACAGAUAUGGCAGCCGGAUCAUCAGAGACCUUGUCUGUUCUACAGAGAGAAGGUUCUCUCUGGUAGGCUAGGGGUUCCAGCCGUUGACUGGCUUGACUACAAUUAUUUGGACUGUUCGGUAGAAAUGUAGAAUGAAAACGUAGUUCAGAAAGAAACGUGCACCCCCACGUGGACUGCAACGUUGCUCACAAAAGCCCAGACACGGAUGAACAGAUAAAGCAGAUGUGGCUUACAGCAAAAGGAAUAGUAUUCAGCUAUAAAAAAAGAAUGAAAUCUUGCCAUUUGUGGCAAUGCAGAUGUGCCCUGAGGGGAUUAGGCUGUGUGAAAUAAGACAGAGAAAGAGACACCCUAUGGUCUCUCUCAUACGCGGGAUAUAAACCAAACCAAAUCAAAACUAAGCUCAUAGAUACGGAGAACAGAUUGGUGAUUGGAGGAGACGAGCAGUGAGGGGUGGGAAAAAUGGGUGAACGGUUUUUUGUUGUUGUUUGUCUGUUUCAGUAGAAUGAAUAAAAAUUAAUAAUCUAGAUUCAUGGGUUCACCUAGCUUUCUCAGUGCGUCCCCAGGGUGGACCGUGGCGAUCCGUACUUUUAACAAGCUCCCAAGUUCUCCGACCUAAGAGAGAAUGUGGCCUAGAGAACAUUUGUCACAAUUAUAAACAACAAAAGGGGUUACCUCCUAAACUUCCACUGGCUUCCCCUAUUUCAGUGUUGGGCACAUCCGCAUCCCUAUGCUCUGUUCUUUGGAGUUUUGGGAGAAAGAGAAGAGCCACUGAGAUCCUUGGCUGGGGAUGUAGAGGGACAGCCUGGUGCCAUGUGGACUGUCUGUGAAUGUUGGACAUCAAAUCAAGAGCCAUAAUGGCACCAAAUGCUGGCUGCCCAUUCAAGAAAGAUUUUAAACUCGUGGGAUCACUAGUCCACAACUUUUAAGGAAACCCUUCCCCCAGCAAGGCAGAGAACUAUGUGAUCUGUAAACGACUACUCCUUGGUUUCUUGAGCAACAACUCUCUGUAGCUCUGAAACCCAUUCCCACCAUGAAUAAAAUGUGGUUCCAAAAGAAAGGGAGCUAAGGAUGUGUCACUUGGCGUUCAAGAAAGACAAAGCCCACCUCUGUCAAAUGCCAUUUUGACAUCUUCAAUGUGUUCGGUGAACCCAGAGACUCUGUAAAGACCUUCCGACUUCAAUCCUGUGGGGGAAAAGGAAACAGAGAGACUUUAACUUCCCGAAACAUCUACAGAGGACUCUAAUUUCAUAUAUACACCGUGUGCUAUAAAUGAGAAAAAUACAGUCAGUGCUCUUGUACAUUACACACUGUCACACUGAACGAUGCUGUCGCCGGACCUGCCCGUCUCAGUUUCCAGGCAACUCUGUCUUCGUUUGCUUGCGCUGCAGUGGAAACCUCCCAGGGAUCUGGUCUUCUUCCUGCCUGGCUUCACAAAGUGAACCCCUGUUUCAGAUUCUCAUCAACCUUGGUGCUUCCUUUGUUCAUCAGACUUGUGGAUUUGAUUUCACUGCUUCAGGCGGCAACCCGCUGUCUCCCCAGCAUCAUCUUAACCCAUGUGCCAUACUGCGUGCAGUGCUGUGCUAGGUAUACAUACAUCCACGGGCACCUCUGUGUGAUAUAUAUUGUCCUGAUUUUAUUGAAAUGGUCUAAAUUUUAUAGCCUUUUGUGUUGAAUCAUAAAUAUCAUAUGUUCAAUGUUUAACUAAAUAUGAUCGAUUUCAUCGUUAUACCUUCAAAUAAAGGAUCAUACGCACA